GCUUGAGGAACAAACCCUAAGAACGCCACCUCGUGUGGCAACGCCUUCGUGACCAACAUCGUGUUGG
rnacentral:sRNA from 1 species